rnacentral:rRNA from 1 species
AUUGAACGCUGGCGGCAGGCCUAACACAUGCAAGUCGAACGAGUGGCGGACGGGUGAGUAAUGUCUGGGAAACUGCCUGAUGGAGGGGGAUAACUACUGGAAACGGUAGCUCAUACCGCAUACCAUCGGAUGUGCCCAGAUGGGAUUAGCUAGUUUGUGGGGUAAAUGCUCACCUAGGCGACGAUCCCUAGCUGGUCUGAGAGGAUGACCGGCCACACUGGGACUGUGACACGGUCCAUGCGCCUACGUGAGGCAGCAGUGGGGAAUAUUGCACAAUGGGCGCAAGCCGGAUGCAGCCAUGCCGCGUGUAUGAAGAAGGCCUUCGGGUUGUAAAGUACUUUCAGCGGGGAGGCGUUACCCGCAGAAGAAGCACCGGCUAACUCCGUGCCAGCAGCCGCGGUAAUAC